CUGUGUAACUAUUUGAACUAUUUUAUAAAUUGCAAGCGUACACUAUUUGAAGUACUACAAAAUAGCAAUUAAUUUAAUAUAUUCGUUCACAUAGGAAAUAGAUAAUUGAUUUAAUUAGCAUGUCAAUUGCAAUAGCUAAAAUUUUAAUAGCAUGUAAUAAAAAUUAUAUUGUGUCAGCACAAUUAUGUGUUGAAAUCGCUUAUUUUCGCAAAUUAUUUAAAGAACUUUUUUAACAAUUUAUUUGGUGCGCAUAUAAAUUAGGGCGGAAAGUUUACAUUUUCGUGCAAAUAAAUUAUUUUUAUGAAAGGCUAACUGUUUACAAACAAGCAUGAAAUGAGUAGUUAUAAAAUAGCAAGCUACAUUAGCUUUUCGCCAAAACGAUUAAUAGGGAGAUUUAUGCUUUAUCAUGGAUCCGAAUCUUAUGAAGCGCAGUUUUAAGCAGGACGACAACGCUUGCGGUGGUUUGCGCAGCAAGAAAAUGAAAACUCAGUUCUAUGGAGUUCUGCUGUUUUUGCUUGCUGUGGCUUUGUUCAUUGUUUGUUGCAGUUAUUUUUGUCCCAAGUUAGGUGAUAAGCUUAUUGGUGUAAUAUUAAUGCUGUUUUGAAAACUGGUACUCGUGAAUUGUAUUUUCAAAUUUAUAAGAAAGAAAAUGUUAUCUUUCCGCUUAUAAAAAAGCUUGUAAAAUAAAGUUAUGCAAUGAAA